GAGAGGAGGCCGGGGGUUACGGCCGUAAGGCUGAGGAAGGUCCGCCCACGCCCCCAGCACCGCCUCCCCGCAAGGGGAUGCCCCGAGAGGGGCAGGAAGGCCCACAGAAACGACACGUCCCUCGGGGCAUGGCGAUGAUGCCGGUGAGGCAGAGGACCCCGAGGGGACCGGUGAAACGGGGCCCCGGCGGUGUGCAAGCCAGUCCCCGCGAUGAGCAGCUGGGGCGAGCGGGGGGUAGGCGCUCAGCCGAAUCCCCCAGUACAGAAGGCGGACUAUGGCCUCCACUC
rnacentral:RNase_P_RNA from 1 species